CAGGAUUCAGUGCAGCCCUGCAGCCGGGCUCUCAGCCUCUCAUCUGCGUACCUCCUGAUGGCGGGCAGCGUGACCCACAGCCCCGAGAAUGACUCUCUAUGACAACAGCUGACAGCCGUGUUGCCAUGACAAAUGCAAGUUGUGUGCCGUUCAAACGCGUUUCUAACAAUCAAGGGAAAUGGCAGAAUCCUUCUGAGAAGUUGAUGUAGAGAUAGCUGGAGGCUCAUGGCGGGGGCAGGAAAGGGUCGUUUCUGGCAUCCCGGGGAGGUCAUGUUGACACAAAACGCAGCCUCAAAGUCCACGCAAGUGUGGGACGUGGAAGCGGGUUUGCAAGGAGACGUCAGGGUCCGGGGAGAGCCUACGACGCGGUCGGUCAAGGAGUCUCCACCAGGGAGAACUGUGCUCUCACCUCUAGUGUGAACCGAGACCCACGAAGCCACAGCAAGUCCCUCCCAGACGCACAGAUUUUAUCUGAAUCCCUGUUCUGGGCGGCUUUGCUUCUGCCUUCAGGGCUGGCUCUCGGUAAAGGCUCCUUGACGGAGAGCGAUACUGUAAUCUCAGAGUAUACCAGGCCCUUUGAGGAAGGGGGUCAAAUCCCAAACACCUUUCAGUCUCAAGACACUUAAUAGAGGCCAACAAAGUAUAUUGCAGAGUAAGACCUGCCGCACUGGGAAGGCAAACACUCCAACAAGCUAGAAGCCGCUUCCAGAAGGCGAGAGACGACUGCCCAGCCAUGUGGAAGUCCUUCCUCCCUCCGGGACCUUGCGGUCUGUGGAUAAGGAACCAGCACAAACAGCAGGUCAGCCGCCUGUGGCCAAGUCUGCACUGGGCUGAGAAUGGUAUUUCUUUCUUGACCAAUGGACAUGGCUCGAACACACUGGCCCCAGAUUAAAACACACAAUUCCUCACCACUUCCCCAGGAGUGAUUUCUGAUCUCAACGCCUCAAAAUCUGCUUUCUAGAAGGACUUUGCCCAAACCUGAGAAAGAUAAACACCUUCACCACACCCCAGCCUGGCUGUCCUAGAAGGAGGCUUGGAAACGCUGUGAAAGGCGUGCGUGGGAGUGCUUUGCGCUGGGACCCCACAGAUGCUCUCCUGCGCUCACGGGCCUGUAUGUCACAGCCAAGUGCUUCCCAGCAAAGUACACGGGGGCUUUGUCUCAUUCUGCAAUGGUCGGCACUGGCCAUGGGGCUAUGGGGGCCACCGCUGUGUUCCUCCCGCUCAAAGAGAACAGCCUGGUGGGGGUGGGGUAGCUUGCCGCCACAAAGAGCCGGCCAGCCCCACCUUGCUUCAGGUGGAAAACACAACUCUCCACAUCCUGGCUGGGCUUUCCGGUCCAGAAUUUCACUAGGAAGGAAGGGAGGGAGGGACAAGAAGGAAGGGGAACAAAGGAAGGCGCUUUCUUCGUAGGACUCUCUUAAUAAAACAAAGCCUGGUCAGAGCACUCCAUGUCUCAUCAGAAAGAC